CGCACAUUGCGCCCUUUGGUAUUCCGAGGGGCAUGCCUGUUCGAGCGUCAUUUCAACCAUCAAGCCCAGCUUGGUAUUGGACCCGGCCCUGGGGCCAGUCCGUAACUAGUUGGCGGUGCUGUGCAGCCUUAAGCGUAACAGAAAUCUCGCUUCUGGGUUGACACGGCGUCUGCCGGUUAAGCCAUUCUCUGAAGUUUGACCUCGGAUCAGGUAGGGAUACCCGCUGAACUUAAGCAUAUCAAUAAGCGGAGGACGAGAGCGAACAAGGAUUCCCUCAGUAACUGCGAGUGAAGAGGGAGUAGC
rnacentral:misc_RNA from 1 species